rnacentral:tRNA from 1 species
UGGGUUGAAGCUUAUAGGUUGAGCAACUGGCCGUUAACCAGGAGGUAGUAGGGUUAAAGCCUGCCAACCUAA